rnacentral:rRNA from 1 species
UACGUAGGGGGCAAGCGUUGUCCGGAUUUAUUGGGCGUAAAGAGCGUGUAGGCGGCCUUACAGGUCAGCUGUGAAAACUCGAGGCUCAACCUCGAGACGUCGGUUGAAACCGUAUGGCUAGAGUCCGGAAGAGGAGAGUGGAAUUCCCGGUGUAGCGGUGAAAUGCGCAGAUAUCAGGAGGAACACCAAUGGCGAAGGCAGCUCGCUGGGACGUGACUGACGCUGGAGACGCGAAAGCGUGGGGAGCAAACAGG